rnacentral:lncRNA from 1 species
CUAGGUGUUUUACGCAUAGUAUUGAAGAGGAAGGAGAUGAUUAUUUGCUAGUUGUUUAUUAAUGAGAAAACAUUAACUUGAGGAAUGUAGUCAAGCCAUCAACUCUCAUUGAGUUGAGUUUUACUUCAGGUCUUCUAAGUACAGCAUCAUUAGACAAAAUAGUAAGAAGAUCGAGCAAAAUAUAUACAUCAUCGUCUUAUACUAUGGU